rnacentral:rRNA from 1 species
AAUUGGCGGGGGAGCAUUACAACGGGUGGAGCCUGCGGUUUAAUUGGAUUCAACGCCGGAAAUCUCACCGGGGGCGACAGCAUGAUGAAGGCCAGGCUGAAGACCUUGCCUGAUCCGCUGAGAGGUGGUGCAUGGCCGUCGUCAGUUCGUACUGUGAAGCAUCCUGUUAAGUCAGGCAACGAGCGAGACCCACGCCCACAGUUGCCAGCGAGCCCUUCGGGGUGGCGGGUACUCUGUGGGGACCGCCGCUGCUAAAGCGGAGGAAGGAAUGGGCAACGGUAGGUCAGUAUGCCCCGAAUCUCCCGGGCUACACGCGGGCUACAAUGGUCGGUACAAUGGGUAUCUACCCCGAGAGGGGAUGGAAAUCUCCUAAAACCGGUCGUAGUUCGGAUUGAGGGCUGCAACUCGCCCUCAUGAAGCUGGAAUCCGUAGUAAUCGCGUUUCAACAGAACGCGGUGAAUACGUCCCUGCUCCUUGCACACACCGCCCGUCAAACCACCCGAGUAGGGUCCGGAUGAGGGUGUAUUAUAUUGAUACAUUCGAAUCUGGGCUUUGCAAGGGGGGUUAAGUCGAAGCAAGGUAACCAAGGGCGAAU